CGACCGCUGGCGGCGUGCUUACCACAUGCAAGUCGAACGGCAAGGCCCUGCUUUUGUGGGGUGCUCGAGUGGCGAACGGGUGAGUAACACGUGAGUAACCUGCCCUUGACUUUGGGAUAACUUCAGGAAACUGGGGCUAAUACCGGAUAGGAGCUCCUGCUGCAUGGUGGGGGUUGGAAAGUUUCGGCGGUUGGGGAUGGACUCGCGGCUUAUCAGCUUGUUGGUGGGGUAGUGGCUUACCAAGGCUUUGACGGGUAGCCGGCCUGAGAGGGUGACCGGCCACAUUGGGACUGAGAUACGGCCCAGACUCCUACGGGAGGCAGCAGUGGGGAAUAUUGCACAAUGGGCGGAAGCCUGAUGCAGCAACGCCGCGUGCGGGAUGACGGCCUUCGGGUUGUAAACCGCUUUCGCCUGUGACGAAGCGUGAGUGACGGUAAUGGGUAAAGAAGCACCGGCUAACUACGUG
rnacentral:rRNA from 1 species